rnacentral:lncRNA from 1 species
GAGAUACAGGAUGUGGGUGGUGGGCAAGAAGGGUGCCACAGGCCGGCCCGGUGAUGAGGACUCUUCAACAGCAAAGAAGGAGGUGGAUCAGGAGCACACAGCUGCCCUGGCACCACGUGACAUGGCCCCUUCCGGAGCUCGGGGCCUCAGCCAGAGCUGCCAGGCCAGGAAGACGUUCAGGGGAGAGCUCUACGCAAUCGUGCAAAGACACAAGCGCCAUCACACAGAUGCAUAUUUAACUAGAGAAAACCAAACUGAAGAGGACGGCACGCAGAGAGAAAAAGACGGCGUAGGAUACUAAAUGAAGUCUCUUAAAAAUACAACUCAAAGAAGGUGGGGCUCAGGGAGGGAAGUAUUCGGCUGCAGGGAGAUGUUGGUUCUAGGAAGGAUGUGUCCCUCCAAAGGCUUCAGAUUUUCAAGACGGCUCCAUCAUCUCUCCUACACUGGGAAAAUGCAUUCCUCACAGAGAGCAUUCCACAGAUCACCCACACUGUUUCCCAGUGACAGCGCUAUAGCUCAUUCUUGAUGGUCUUGUCCCUGAAAAGGGAACUGAGAGGAAUAAAUGUCAGGUUAUCG